UACAGAAGGUGCGAGCGUUAAUCGGAAUUACUGGGCGUAAAGGGUGCGUAGGUGGUUUUGUAAGUUAAGUGUGAAAGUCCCGGGCUUAACCUGGGGAUUGCGCCUAAUACUGCAAAGCUAGAGUACUGUAGAGGAAAGUGGAAUUUCCAGUGUAGCGGUGAAAUGCGUAGAUAUUGGAAGGAACAUCAGUGGCGAAGGCGACUUUCUGGACAGAUACUGACACUGAGGCACGAAAGCGUGGGGAGCAAACAGG
rnacentral:rRNA from 1 species